GACGAACGCUGGCGGCGUGCUUAACACAUGCAAGUCGAACGGAAAGGCCCUGCUUUUGUGGGGUGCUCGAGUGGCGAACGGGUGAGUAACACGUGAGUAACCUGCCCUUGACUUUGGGAUAACUUCAGGAAACUGGGGCUAAUACCGGAUAGGAGCUCCUGCUGCAUGGUGGGGGAUGGAAAGUUUCGGCGGUUGGGGAUGGACUCGCGGCUUAUCAGCUUGUUGGUGGGGUAGUGGCUUACCAAGGCUUUGACGGGUAGCCGGCCUGAGAGGGUGACCGGCCACAAUGGGACUGAGAGACGGCCCAGAAGCCUACGGGAGGCAGCAGUGGGGAAUAUUGCACAGUGGGCGGAAGCCUGAGGCAGCGACGCCGCGUGCGUGAUGACGGCCUUCGAGUUGUAAACCGCUUUCGCCGGUGACGAAGCGUGAGUGACGGUAAUGGGUAAAGAAGCACCGGCUAACUACGUG
rnacentral:rRNA from 1 species